rnacentral:lncRNA from 1 species
UUCCCACAUAGGUUGUCAUUUUUUCUUUUUGCUUCUUUUUCUUUUCUUUUCAUUAAUAUUUUCAAAGAUCUAUGGGAAAGGAGAGCACUUAAGAGAGGUUAGAAGGGUUUCCUAAGUUCCGAUUGGUUUUUUUCUCAAGUGUAUGAGGUUCUGUGCAAGUUAUGGUGGUGUGAGUUGGUUCCUUAAGGUUUUGAGAGAUUAAUCUUGGUAGAAGCAUGAUAUUUUGUAGGGUUGGAGACAUGGUAGAGGUGAAUGAAGGCCCCUAUAGAAUUUUUUUUUUAACUAUAUAGGGAUUUCAGGUAUAUCCGACCCGAUCCGACCCAACCCAUUCUUGGAGUCCGACCUGACCUGACCCAAGACGGGUACAGGAAGAGUAGGGUAUGGAUUUUAUCUGGUGGGGCAGGUACGAAUAUUGGUUGAUCCAACCCA